GAGGAACCUGCGGCGGAUUAGCUAGUUGGUAAGGUAACGGCUUACCAAGGCGAUGAUCCGUAGCCGGCCUGAGAGGGCGGUCGGCCACACUGGCACUGAAACACGGGCCAGACUCCUACGGGAGGCAGCAGUCGGGAAUUUUGGGCAAUGGGCGAAAGCCUGACCCAGCAACGCCGCGUGAAGGAUGAAAUCCCUCGGGAUGUAAACUUCGCAAGAAUGGGAAGAAUGAGCGAGCGCUAAUACCGUUCGUGAUGACGGUACCAUUUGUAAGCUCCGGCUAACUCCGUGCCAGCAGCCGCGGUAAUACGGGGGGAGCAAGCGUUGUUCGGAUUUACUGGGCGUAAAGGGCGCGUAGGCGGCCAGCGCAAGUCAGUUGUGAAAUCUCCGGGCUUAACUCGGAAAGGUCAACUGAUACUGCGCGGCUAGAGUGCGGAAGGGGCAACUGGAAUUCUCGGUGUAGCGGUGAAAUGCGUAGAUAUCGAGAGG
rnacentral:rRNA from 1 species